UACGUAGGCAGCGAGCGUUGUUCGGAGUUACUGGGCGUAAAGGGUGCGUAGGCGGUUGUUUAAGUUUGGUGUGAAAUCUCCCGGCUCAACCGGGAAACUGCAGCCAAAACUGCGCGGCUAGAGUGGCAGAGAGGAAAGUGGAAUUCCCGGUGUAGUAGUGAAAUGCGUAGAUAUCGGGAGGAACACCAGCGGCGAAGGCGACUUUCUGGCUGCUAACUGACGCUGAGACGCGAAAGCUAGGGGAGCGAACGGG
rnacentral:rRNA from 1 species